UCCUAUCAAAUCAAAUACAGGCUUACAGCUCCUUCUCUUUCACUCUCCAGAAUCUCCAAAAGAAAAUCAAAUAAGAAAAAAAGAUUGAAACUUUCUCCUUCUUGUUCUUCCUCUUCCUCCCAGUUGUUCAUUGGCCUUGAAAUCAAGAAAUUUCAAAGAGGUUUGUCUUUCUUCCUUCAUUUCCAGUUCUGGAUUCUGGUUCGAAGUUGAAAGAGCUAAUUUUGACUGCAUAAUUAGUCUUUGUUUAUGGCCACUUAUUCCUUUUUCUUAUCCCUUCUUUGAAACUAUUUGUUAACAACUUUGGAUAAUGACAGAAAACGAUUUGAUUAGUAAUUAACUAAUCUAUUUAAUUGUAAAGCUUACCAUUAAACAAACAUUCGUUCAUUAAAUUAUUUGUUUAUUCCUCCUUUUCGGUAAACAGGGGAAGAAAGCAGAGCCAUGAAUCAUCAUCAUAAUCAUU
rnacentral:lncRNA from 1 species